rnacentral:rRNA from 1 species
AUUGAACGCUGGCGGCAGGCCUAACACAUGCAAGUCGAACGAGUGGCGGACGGGUGAGUAAUGUCUGGGCAACUGCCUGAUGGAGGGGGAUAACUACUGGAAACGGUAGCUACUACCGCAUACCAUCAGAUGUGCCCAGAUGGGAUUUGCUAGUUGGUGGGGUAACGGCGCACCACGGCGACGAUCCCUAGCUGGUCUGAGAGGAUGACCAGGCACACGGGAACUGAGACACGGUCCAGACUCCUACGGGAGGCAGCAGUGGGGAAUAUUGGACAAUGGGCGCAAGCCUGAUGCAGCCAUGCCGCGUGUAUGAAGAAGGCCUUCGGGGUGUAAAGUACUUUCAGCGGGGAGGCGUUACCCGCAGAAGAAGCACCGGCUAACUCCGUGCCAGCAGCCGCGGUAAUAC